CAGCCAUAAACUAUGCGCGUUAGGUGUACUGGUGACCACGAGUCACCGGGGUGCCGAAGGGAAACCGUGAAACGUGCCGCCUGGGAAGUACGGUCGCAAGGCUGAAACUUAAAGGAAUUGGCGGGGGGAGCACCACAACGGGUGGAGCCUGCGGUUUAAUUGGACUCAACGCCGGGAAGCUCACCGGAUAGGACAGCAGAAUGAUUGCCGGGCUGAAGACCCUGCAUGACUAGCUGAGAGGAGGUGCAUGGCGUCAGUGACU
rnacentral:rRNA from 1 species